GUGACCGUAGCUCAAGCGAGAAGAGCGCCGGGAUGUGGCCCCGGAGGUGCGGGUUUGAGCCCCGCCGGUCACCCCA
rnacentral:tRNA from 2 species